AACAUUCCCAUCUCUACUGACUCACAUGGCCUGGAACGCAAGUUCACAUACCAAAGAGAACUGAGAAGGGGGAUGGGGGAAAUAACUCUCCAAUUUAUCUAGGUAAGAGCACCACUCCUAUUUUCACUCCAUGAGUGUUAUGCAAGGUCAGCCUCCCCCUCUGCAGAAUGGGAGAGUUCUGGAUGACUUCUCUGAACAGCAUGGGGUCAAGGAUGACUGCCAAGACAUCAGAUGUCAUCACACCUGCCUUUCUCCUGGAUGUCUUUUCUUAUCAUUACAGUUGAAAUGCAAGAGAAACCCUAAAAGAAAUGUGAAGCUGAGAAGGACACAGCUCUCUGACCAUGACCACAGGAAGUGAGAUAGGAGCUAUAAGAAGGUAAUACAAGUUAAAUGAAGUUAUAAGGAUGGAACUUUGAUCUGACAAGACUGGUGCCCUUGUAAGAAGAGACAACAGAGAUCUCUCUCUCUCUGUGAGCACAAAGAGAAGAGGCCAUGUGGAGACACAGGGAGAAAGCAACAGUCUACAAGCCAGGAAGAGAGUUCUCACCAGAAACCAACUUGAUGGCACCUUGCUCUUAGACUUCUAGCCUCCAGAAUGGGCCUGAUGCAGAAGUGCUUCUCCUUCCCCUUGCCCCUGGACCUGAGCCGGAGCUGUCUAUCUACAUGAGGACACCAUCUGGCAACACUGAAAUGUUGCCCUCACUGUAUGCCAUCACCAGGAAGACAAGCAAUAGAUGAUGAGUGAAAAUAAAAUGUUUAGUUGGAAACUAUUUGGGAAUGGCUUUAUGUCCACAUAUGGACACAGCCUGGCUGGAACUGGGGAGAUCUUCCCUUUCUGGUGUCUUUUCAAGGUCUUGAGAUGAGCUCUAACAAAUAUCUCAGGCCAUCUGGCCUAGUUUUUCAUAAUUGUGACUCCUAAAUGUAAACACGGUCCGAGAGAAUAUCGGGAACAAAAAAAAGGCUAAUGAAAUUCUUCUAAUUUAACGGAGUUGUUCUGAGUCUCAUUCAGUUACUUAAACAUUUUUUUCUUUCCUUCUCGCAGUCAUCAAUCCUGGAAAAUCU
rnacentral:lncRNA from 1 species